UACGGAGGGUGCAAGCGUUAUCCGGAUUCACUGGGUUUAAAGGGUGCGUAGGCGGGUUGGUAAGUCCGUGGUGAAAUCCCCAAGCUUAACUUGGGAACUGCCGUGGAUACUAUCAAUCUUGAAUAUCGUGGAGGUAAGCGGAAUAUGUCAUGUAGCGGUGAAAUGCUUAGAUAUGACAUAGAACACCAAUUGCGUAGGCAGCUUGCUACACGAAUAUUGACACUGAGGCACGAAAGCGUGGGGAUCAAACAGG
rnacentral:rRNA from 1 species